UACCAGCACCCCGAGUGGUCGGGACGAUUAUUGGGCCUAAAGCAUCCGUAGCCGGUUCUACAAGUCUUCCGUUAAAUCCACCUGCUUAACAGAUGGGCUGCGGAGGAUACUAUAGAGCUAGGAGGCGGGAGAGGCAAGCGGUACUUAGUGGGUAGGGGUAAAAAUCCGUUGAUCCAUUGAAGACCACCAGUGGCGAAGGCGGCUUGCCAGAACGCACUCGACGGUGAGGGAUGAAAGC
rnacentral:rRNA from 1 species